rnacentral:rRNA from 1 species
GAAUCUUGCGCAAUGAGCGAAAGCUUGACGCAGCGACGCCGCGUGAGGGAAGAAGGCCUUCGGGUUGUAAACCUCUUUCAGGAGGGACGAAGCCGCUCGGGUUAACACCCCAGAGGGUGACGGUCCCUCCAGAAGAAGCCCCGGCUAACUACGUGCCAGCAGCCGCGGUAAUACGUAGGGGGCAAGCGUUGUCCGGAAUUAUUGGGCGUAAAGAGCGUGUAGGCGGCCAGGUAGGUCUGCUGUGAAAACUCGAGGCUCAACCUCGAGCUGUCGGUGGAAACCAUCUGGCUAGAGUCCGGAAGAGGAGAAUGGAAUUCCUGGUGUAGCGGUGAAAUGCGCAGAUAUCAGGAAGAACACCCGUGGCGAAGGCGGUUCUCUGGGACGGUACUGACGCUGAGACGCGAAAGCGUGGGGAGCAAAC